AGCAAGGUUCGCCAUUUCGAUACUAGACCCAUACCAAUGCCAUCCUUAUAUAAUGCAAUACAGUAUGUUACGAAAUUUUUUUAGCGUACCAAAUAUCGGUACGCCACGUAUACCGAUAACGAACCAGUACAAUAUGCUCAAUACCAUCUAGUUUGGUACAGCAUAUCAUUUGUACAAGUUACUGAUCAAUCUUUGCAAGACAGACACUAUUCAGUGCCACCAACAAACUUGUAUGUUAUUUUACCGAGGAUAUGAUGACCCAUCAGCCACCAUUACUUACCAAGAACUUCUCACGUUAAAAAAAAUAGAGAAGAUAACAAUAUAAUUAGUUCUUCUUGACAACGGGGAGACGCAAACCAAAUCAAUCAUGAAAGAAGCAACUGAAAGAUUAGCUGAAACAUUCUGCACAUCGGGAACCUUUUGAGGGUCAAACAGUACCCACAAGGCAGUUUAUAAUGACCAUGCAGACUCUUAUGAAAGCACUAUAGAGUUGCU
rnacentral:lncRNA from 1 species